rnacentral:rRNA from 1 species
UUGUCCUACGGGACGCAGCAGUGAGGAAUAUUGGUCAAUGGGCGAGAGCCUGAACCAGCCAAGUCGCGUGAGGGAAGACGGCCCUACGGGUUGUAAACCUCUUUUGUCAGGGAGCAAGAACGGAUACGUGUAUCCGAGCGAGAGUACCUGAAGAAAAAGCAUCGGCUAACUCCGUGCCAGCAGCCGCGGUAAUACGGAGGAUGCGAGCGUUAUCCGGAUUUAUUGGGUUUAAAGGGAGCGUAGGCGGGCCGUUAAGUCAGUUGUGAAAGUUCGGGGCUCAACCCCGGAAUUGCAGUUGAAACUGG